NGGAGAAGGGUAAUCAAGCUUGCCAUUGAAAGUUGUUUGAGACUCGAGAUCAGUGCGGUUUCUGGCAUUGGAGGACAAUGAUCUUGGCCUGAGAAAUCUCUCAAAGAUAGCCAUAACAAGGAACAUUGAUAUGAGAAUUGCAGUGGCUACAAAACCAAAGGAAACCGCAUUCACUGAGUUGUCAAAACGUCUCCAGUGCUCUUCCCUUUCUAAAUUCAGUGGAGCCACUGUUGGCGGCACCGUGUCCCAGUAAUCUUGAGCACCCAUCUAAAAAACCCAAGCUUAAAAGCAGCCACCACCCUCUCUUUCUCUCAUUUACAAAAGAACCAAAGCAGAAGAAACCAGGAAAAACAAACCCCAAAAAGAGAAAACAAGUAAACAGGGAAGAAUAUCAGAGAGCAAUCCCGUGUAUAGUUUUCUCCUUUAUGACAUGCAUGGCUUUGGUGCUAAUUGAGCAUUACCAAAACAGAAGUUGUUGAGAGUAGAGACACAGGAAUCUUAUUUUUUUUUUUUCUGAAGGCUUUUGCUUAUAUUAGGACCAAGACUUGUGUGCUUCUUCAAGGAGAGAAGAUGAAGAAAAAAAGUGGGUGAUUGGGAGUGGUAAGAACAGAGGUUAGCGGAGGUUGGAAAAGGGCGCCUGUCUGAAAAGAGAGCUUUAUGUACUAACCUCUUACAUAAUAAGCUAUGCUGCUUUGGGAAAACAAAAUAGACCCCAGCAUCUGCAUGUACUAUUUUCCUGUGAAGAUACUACCCA
rnacentral:lncRNA from 1 species